rnacentral:lncRNA from 1 species
AACCAAAAAGUGGUUGUAACUAGCUCUCAACAAACUUGAGAGCAAAAAGAACAAGAACCAAACAAGUGGUGUCAACUAAUUGACACCACCUCCAUGAUGCCGCCCACCCUCUCUAUGGCUCCAAAGGAGGAUGCCUAGAGAGAGAAGAGGUGUGGGCUAGAGAGAGGAAGAGGAGGGAGGCAUGGGCCCAAUGAAGGUGGCGGGA